rnacentral:rRNA from 1 species
GGAUUAGGCAUGCAAGUCGCACGAGAAAGGUUUCUUCGGAAGCCGAGUACAGUGGCGAACGGGUGAGUAAUGCAUAGACAACUCGCCCUUGAGAUGGGGACAACGCCUCGAAAGGGGUGCUAAUACCCAAUGCCGCCUUGGGCCUGCGGGUCCAGGGUGAAAGGAGGCCUCUGAUUCAAGCUUCCGCUCAAGGAGAGGUUUAUGUCCUAUUAGCUAGUUGGCGGGGUAACGGCCCACCAAGGCUGCGAUGGGUAGCCGACCUGAGAGGGUGACCGGCCACAUUGGGAUUGAGACACUGCCCAGACUCCUACGGGAGGCUGCAGUCGAGAAUCUUCCGCAAUGCGCGCAAGCGUGACGGAGCGACGCCGCGUGGGUGAUGAAGGCCUUCGGGUUGUAAAACCCUGUCAGCUACUACGAAACACGGGCGAUGAACAAUCGUCCCGUCUGACUUAAGUAGCAGAGGAAGCACCGGCUAACUACGUGCCAGCAGCCGCGGUAAUACGUAGGGUGCAAACGUUGUUCGGAAUCACUGGGCAUAAAGGGCGCGUAGGCGGUCUGAUAAGUCAGGUGUGAAAUCCCUCGGCCUAACCGAGGAACUGCAUUUGAUACUGUCGGGCUAGAGUACAGGAGGGGAGAGUGGAAUUCCUGGUGGAGCGGUGAAAUGCGUAGAUAUCAGGAGGAACGCCGGCGGCGAAAGCGACUCUCUGGCCUGUUACUGACGCUGAGGCGCGAAAGCUAGGGGAGCAAACGGGAUUAGAUACCCCCGUAGUCCUAGCCCUAAACGAUGGGCACUAAGUAGAGGGGUUUU